CAAUAGCGUAUAUUUAAGUUGUUGCAGUUAAAAAGCUCGUAGUUGGAUUUCGGGUGGGACGCAGCGGUCUCGCAUUGAGUUUGUACUGCUGCAGCCCUCCUUCUUGCCGGGGGCGGCCUCUCGGACUUCACUGUCUGGGGGUCAGAAUCGGCGAUGUUACUUUGAGUAAAUUAGAGUGUUCAAAGCAAGCUUACGCUCUGAAUAUAAUAGCAUGGGAUAACACGACAGGACUCUGGCCUAUCGUGUUGGUCUAUAGGACCAGAGUAAUGAUUAAGAGGGACAGUCGGGGGCAUUCGUAUUCCGUUGUCAGAGGUGAAAUUCUUGGAUUUACGGAAGACGAACAUCUGCGAAAGCAUUUGCCAAGGAUGUUUNCAUUGA
rnacentral:rRNA from 1 species